rnacentral:sRNA from 1 species
AGAUCCCGCGCGUCGUGUGGGUGAGAAGCUGCGUUCAGGUUCGAGCCGAGCGAAGCGAGACGACAACGCGAACGCGUUGCCCGCAGGGAGAGGCCAAAGGCCGAAUCAAUCCCGCACGACCCACCA